rnacentral:rRNA from 1 species
CCUACGGGUGUCAGCAGUGGGGAAUAUUGCACAAUGGAGGGAACCCUGAUGCAGCGACGCCGCGUGGGUGAAGGAGUAUUUCGGUAUGUAAAGCCCUAUUAGCAGGGAAGAACAAUGACGGUACCUGACUAAGAAGCACCGGCUAAAUACGUCCCAGCAGCCGCGGUAAUACGUAUGGUGCAAGCGUUAUCCGGAUUUACUGGGUGUAAAGGGAGCGCAGGCGGGGCGUUAAGCCUGGUGUGAAAGGCCGCGGCCCAACCGCAGGACUGCAUUGGGAACUGGCGCGCUUGAGUGCCGUUGGGGUAGGCGGAAUUCCUAGUGUAGCGGUGAAAUGCGUAGAUAUUAGGAGGAACACCAGUUGCGAAGGCGGCCUACUGAACGGUGACUGACGCUGAGGCUCGAAAGCGUGGGGAGCAAACAGGAUUAGAUACCCUAGUAGUC